GAUGAACGCUGGCGGCGUGCCUAAUACAUGCAAGUCGAGCGAACAGACGAGGAGCUUGCUCCUCUGACGUUAGCGGCGGACGGGUGAGUAACACGUGGAUAACCUACCUAUAAGACUGGGAUAACUUCGGGAAACCGGAGCUAAUACCGGAUAAUAUAUUGAACCGCAUGGUUCAAUAGUGAAAGACGGUUUUGCUGUCACUUAUAGAUGGAUCCGCGCCGCAUUAGCUAGUUGGUAAGGUAACGGCUUAACAAGGCAACGAUGCGUAGCCGACCUGAGAGGGUGAACGGCCACACUGGGACUGAGACACGGUCCAGACUCCUACGGGAGGCAGCAGUAGGGAAUCUUCCGCAAUGGGCGAAAGCUUGACGGAGCAACGCCGCGUGAGUGAUGAAGGUCUUCGGAUCGUAAAACUCUGUUAUUAGGGAAGAACAAAUGUGUAAGUAACUAUGCACGUCUUGACGGUACCUAAUCAGAAAGCCACGGCUAACUACGUG
rnacentral:rRNA from 1 species